UCACCGGUGGCGCGGUGUCGAAACCGGUUCCUCACAGAUUACAAGUCGACAAGUCCAACGUAUAAUCCCCAUUGGCGGGGCCAGAACAGAACAGAACAGAUCAUAGCCAUGCUGAGAAUAUAUAUAUAUAAAAACAGAUUUCAUAAAUUUUUCAGUCAUAGUUUACGGAUUUCAGAGCAUAAUUUUCAAAUGAAAUUUAACAUGCCAGACCCAUUUUACUAAAUACAAAACAUAUUUCAGAAUUUAAUCUAUUUAUUUGAAAAUCACACUUGAAGUAUUAAGUCACUUACCUCUUCUCGCUUAACCCCUGCUUCA
rnacentral:lncRNA from 1 species